AACGAACGCUGGCGGCAUGCCUAACACAUGCAAGUCGAACGAGACCUUCGGGUCUAGUGGCGCACGGGUGCGUAACGCGUGGGAAUCUGCCCCUUGGUUCGGAAUAACAGCGAGAAAUUGCUGCUAAUACCGGAUAAUGACGUAAGUCCAAAGAUUUAUCGCCAAGGGAUGAGCCCGCGUAGGAUUAGCUAGUUGGUGUGGUAAAGGCGCACCAAGGCGACGAUCCUUAGCUGGUCUGAGAGGAUGAUCAGCCACACUGGGACUGAGACACGGCCCAGACUCCUACGGGAGGCAGCAGUGGGGAAUAUUGGACAAUGGGCGAAAGCCUGAUCCAGCAAUGCCGCGUGAGUGAUGAAGGCCUUGGUCGUAAAGCUCUUUUACCAGGAGUGAUAAUGUACAGUACCUGGAGAAUAAGACUCGGCUAACUACCGUGCCAGCAG
rnacentral:rRNA from 1 species